GAUUAACGCUAGCAGCAGGCAUAAUACAUGCAAGUUGAACGGGAUUAGUUGUAGCAAUAUGACUAUGAGAGUAGCGCACGGGUGCGUAACGCGUAUGCAACCUGCCUCCAACUGGGGAAUAGCCCCUCGAAAGAGGGAUUAAUACCGCAUAAAAUAGUGAAUAGGCAUCUAUUUACUAUUAAAACUACGGUGGUUGGAGAUGGGCAUGCGUGACAUUAGCUAGUUGGUAGGGUAAUGGCCUACCAAGGCUACGAUGGCUAGGGGGUCUGAGAGGAUGUCCCCCAACACUGGUACUGAGAUACGGACCAGACUCCUACGGGAGGCAGCAGUAGGGAAUAUUGGUCAAUGGAGGCAACUCUGAACCAGCCAUGCCGCGUGCAGGAUGACGGCCCUAUGGGUCGUAAACUGCUUUUGUACGGGAAGAAACCUCAUUACGUGUAAUGAGUUGACGGUACCGUGAGAAUAAGGAUCGGCUAACUUCGUGCCAGCCGCCGCGGUAA
rnacentral:rRNA from 1 species